UAGGGAAUCUUCGGCAAUUGACGAAAGUCUGACCGAGCAACGCCGCGUGAGUGAAGAAGGUUUUCGGAUCGUAAAACUCUGUUGUUAGAGAAGAACAAGGACGUUAGUAACUGAACGUCCCCUGACGGUAUCUAACCAGAAAGCCACGGCUAACUACGUGCCAGCAGCCGCGGUAAUACGUAGGUGGCAAGCGUUGUCCGGAUUUAUUGGGCGUAAAGCGAGCGCAGGCGGUUUCUUAAGUCUGAUGUGAAAGCCCCCGGCUCAACCGGGGAGGGUCAUUGGAAACUGGGAGACUUGAGUGCAGAAGAGGAGAGUGGAAGUCCAUGUGUAGCGGUGAAAUGCGUAGAUAUAUGGAGGAACACCAGUGGCGAAGGCGGCUCUCUGGUCUGUAACUGACGCUGAGGCUCGAAAGCGUGGGGAGCAAACAGG
rnacentral:rRNA from 1 species